rnacentral:lncRNA from 1 species
UAAGAUGGCCAAACUAUGACUUCAUAUUCAAGAAACAAAAAGGAGAUGUUACUGAUGCACAGAUCCCUAUUGCAGGUACCUGACUUGGCAGUGACUUCACACUGAGAUCCAGAAAAUUGCAGCCUAGACUUCAUGUAUUACUCUUUGGACCUUUGUUGUGCUGUAGACAAAGCUGAUUUCUCCUUGCUGCCUUAUAAAUUAGCAAGCUCAAGACAAAACAGCAACAGCUGCAAUUAUAAUCCAUUCACUUGCCAUUCUCUGGUCAGGCUGAGCACAGCCUCUGAGUGCAAGCUCUUCAACAUCAUCAAAGGCAUUUGGACUGGCAGAUAAGGGUUUAAUGACCUUUAAAUUGAUAUUUCUUCUCUCCCCACAUGAUGGUGACUGAGCUUCAAAUAAGCUAGUGAACUUCAGGUGAAUUAUAAAAUUUAGAUGCAUAUAGAAACUGGGAAAUAGGUCCAAACCAGCCCUGAAGCAGCAGUUUACAAACACGCCAGGUUUUACAGUAUCUUAGGGGUGUUGCCUUGUGGGAAGUGUGGAGGAAUUUUUCUCCCAGCACCAGACUGACUAAGGAAAGCUCCUUUUCAGGUUUUGCCUUCUCUUGGAGCAGCUGGAGUAAUGCUGGGUAUAUCAAGACAUGCUGUUCACGAUGUCACAGCUAAACAAGCAACAGAUAACAACACAAGGUGCCAUAAAUAUUUUUGCUAUAAAGAUCUUCACACGUCCACUAGAAUCAAGGUGGAUUUAGAGUAAAACGUGUCCUGGAGAAGCUCAGGUAUACAUGCACUUCUGGUAGAGCAAGAUGACUCCACGGUCCCAUGAACAUCAGAAGCCAACUCCCCUUUUUCUCAAGACAGAAAUUAUUUAGGAUGAGACUGUGACCUGCUCUGUAAGAAUUACUGUCGCUACUUCUCAGGUGAUGUAAACUCAUUUCUUGCUGAAUUAAGCUACAACACUUGUACCUUUUUUGUGCAUAUAUUCCAAGACAAUAAAGGAAUAAUUUCUACU